rnacentral:lncRNA from 1 species
AAAGCGCUGUCUAAGACCCCCUCUUAGACAGCGCUUUUAAAUAUAGACCUUAGACAGCGCUUUUGAUAAAGCGCUGUCUAAAGUCUUUAAAUUAAAAAAAAAAUUAAAACCAAAAGCGCUGUCUAAGGGGGGGUUUAGAAAGCGCUUUUGGAAAGCGCUGUCUAAGGCAUACCUUAGAAAGCGCUUUACACAAAAGCGCUUUCUAAGGUCUUAUUAAAAUAAAAUUUCAGACCACAAAAGCGCUUUCGUGUUCUGUUCUUUUGUUUUCCCUCUUCUUCAGUCACCUCAAAAACUUACGCCAUUUCCACAAAAGCCCUACCUUCU